UACGGAGGGUGCAAGCGUUGUCCGGAUUUAUUGGGUUUAAAGGGUGCGUAGGCGGCUUUAUAAGUCAGUGUUGAAAUACUACAGCUUAACUGUGGAACUGGCAUUGAUACUGUAGAGCUUGAGUUCAGUUGAGGUAGGCGGAAUUGAUGGUGUAGCGGUGAAAUGCUUAGAUAUCAUCAAGAACAUCUAUUGCGAAGGCAGCUUGCUAAGCUGAUACUGACGCCGAGGCACGAAAGCGUGGGGAUCGAACAGG
rnacentral:rRNA from 1 species